AACGAACGCUGGCGGCAGGCUUAACACAUGCAAGUCGAACGCAUCGCAAGAUGAGUGGCAGACGGGUGAGUAACGCGUGGGAACAUACCCUUUUCUACGGAAUAGCUCUGGGAAACUGGAAUUAAUACCGUAUACGCCCUACGGGGGAAAGAUUUAUCGGGGAAGGAUUGGCCCGCGUUGGAUUAGCUAGUUGGUGGGGUAAAGGCCUACCAAGGCGACGAUCCAUAGCUGGUCUGAGAGGAUGAUCAGCCACAUUGGGACUGAGACACGGCCCAAACUCCUACGGGAGGCAGCAGUGGGGAAUAUUGGACAAUGGGCGCAAACCUGAUCCAGCCAUGCCGCGUGAGUGAUGAAGGCCUUAGGGUUGUAAAGCUCUUUCACCGAUGAAGAUAAUGACGGUAGUCGGAGAAGAAGCCCCGGCUAACUUCGUGCCAGCAGCCGCCGUAAAAC
rnacentral:rRNA from 1 species